AUUGUGAUUCCUGAGGGUAUUGUCUUUUUUUAAAAGUCUGUCUGUGUACCUGCCAAAAGACAGGGGAGUGGCUUGGCAUAAAAUCCUACCCAGAACUCCUGUGGAGACUUGCUGGUCAAAGGAGAGAGAAUAUCAGAAAGAAAACAGCAGAAGUCAGGUAACAACAUUCAUUCUGCACAGGUGAAGUUCACAGGCAACUCUUAAGUGAACUUUAUCUAAAAUCCCUUUCUCUUCAGAUUCUCAAGGAUCAAAGCAUGGAAUGGAUGAUUUAAGACAGCAAAGAAACUAUUCAGGAGGAAGUUCAGGAGAGAGAGGUAAGGGUGUUUGAUUAGCUUGAGUUUAUCAAUUUGCUGUGAACCUGAACCAAAAUCUUUUGUGAAAAUCUUUUCAUUGUGAAGACUGAGCCACCUGGUUCUGUAAUGUUACUAAGAAGCUUGAUUAUUAUUUUGAUGAAGUGGCAACGUUUUAUUCAGCUAUAUGUUUUUGAAUUUCAAAGCAAGAACUGUUCACAUUUAUAAGACAUGUAUUAUGAAAACAGGCAUCACAGAAACAAUUUCUACUACUAGAAUUACAUCUUUACCUCCACGUAAGUUACCCCUGUUCACUUUCCCAUGUACAUUUGAUCUGUUUUCACUGUCUGAUUUAUUCAUAUUCAAUGCCUUCUUCUUCUACUGAAUUUGUGCAUUAUGGGAAAAUUCCUGCUUGUUAAACUGUGGCUGUAACUUGAGCAUCUUUUUCAAUAUGAGAUCAAAGUGGUCAUUGCUGUAAUUUACCGUGUUUUUAACCCGCAGGAGGCUUCAGUGCAUCCGCCAGCAAGGGCAUGUCAAGCACCUCUGGGUCUCCUGGUCUGGAGAAGAACAUUUUGACUCAGAACAACAGCAGUUCUUUUUUUUCAUCGUCAUCUGUGGGUGUGAGUGCAGGUGGGUUAGGCUCUGGAUCAGGAGAAUAUCUGGCAGAGGAGACAACUGUGAGCAGGAAGACAGGUGGUGCCUCUGGAGUUUUCGAGAGUCUCUCUGGUUCGGGAACUGGGUCGAGGCUGAGAUCCAGCUCCACUGAUGGCAUGAGAAGAACACAAGUCUCCCCUUUGUUUGUGGAGAGGAAAAGCAAAACUACUCAUUCACGUCGUUAUGAUGGUUAG
rnacentral:lncRNA from 1 species